rnacentral:lncRNA from 1 species
GUGCGGCCUUCACCCAGUGAGGGAGCCUGUGCCCCCUGCCCAGUCGCUUUCGGGGCGCUGAGGAGCUUCCGCUGCCAUCUUCGGAUGCUGUGUCCCGCACGGAGGGUCCACCAGGGCAGGGAUAGUGGUGAGGGUCGCUCGUGGAUCCCCUCGCGGGGAGCAGGGUCUGGCACACACCAGGGCGCAGGAUUAGGACUUGUUGAAUGAAUCCAUCGUGGCCUUUAUCUUUUAGUCCUCUGAAGAGCGUUGAGAAUGGAAAUCAUAAGAUAUUUUUUCCAUUAGGAAGUUCUUUUUACAAGGCGUUUAUUCAGGUUGACUUCUCGGCACCCCGCGGGGCGGGCAACGGGCAGGGCCUCCAGUGCACCUUCUGCGCAGUGGAGCCGCGGGGGCCCAGCUGGGCGGUGGUCGGGUCGUGAGGCGGGAGGGCGGGAGCGGGGGAAGGGAAAAGCAAAAGCGGGGAAAGAAGCCGGGGAGCGGUGGACCAGACAUUCAGACCUCCUGAAAGGCUCGUGCGGAGGCAGAGGCGGGAUCUUCCGGAGGUGAGAAUUGUUUUGUUUAUCUAU